CGUGGGUGACCUGCCCGAUGGAGGGGGAUAACUUUUCGAAAGGGAAGCUAAUACCGCAUGAGCUCCUGGAAGCGAUUUUAGGAGGAAAGCCGAAAGGCGCCAUUGGAGGGGCCCGCGCUCGAUUAGCUAGUUGGUGAGGUAAGGGCUCACCAAGGCGACGAUCGAUAGCCGGUCUGAGAGGACGGACGGCCACACUGGAACUGAGACACGGUCCAGACUCCUACGGGAGGCAGCAGUGGGGAAUUUUGCGCAAUGGGCGACAGCCUGACGCAGCAACGCCGCGUGGAGGAUGAAGGUUUUCGGAUCGUAAACUCCUGUCCCCAGGGAAGAAAACAAUGACGGUACCUGGGGAGGAAGCCCCGGCUAACUCCGUGCCAGCAGCCGCGGUAAUACGGGGGGGGCAAGCGUUGUUCGGAAUUACUGGGCGUAAAGGGCGCGUAGGCGGCCUG
rnacentral:rRNA from 1 species